GCACCAUGGGCCUUCUCUCCGUGUCCUGGAGUUUGAAGGUUUACAAAGGACUGCACAUUUUUCAUGAGUCAUCUCAACGAUCACGCUCCUCACCGUAUUAACACCCCACGCGGUGGGUACUGUUAUGAGUCCCAUUUUACCCUCGGGGACACCGAAUCUGUAAGAAGCCUGGUCGCUUAUUCCAUUUACAGCAAAAGGAGCCGCGGGGCUCAGCGGCUCUAACUUUUAGGCUGUAGGGUCCUCGCCGACCACCCCGCCAAAGUGUCAGGCCUCGGGGCCCUUGCAACCCCACCCAGGGACACGGAUCGAAAGGGUGGCAGCAACGCCUCCCCUGCAGCUGGGAGCGUUUUCCAGACCUUUGCACCAACCUCGUUGGCUAAGCCCCCCGCCCGGCCGCCACCGGGCUGGGAGGAGGCACUUUUGGGAGGCGGGGCCGGGGCCCGGGGAUACUCUCGCGCCGGCGGGCUCCAAUCGCUGCGCCUCACGCAACCCCAAACGGUUCCCUGGCGAACUGGGGCCCGCGCGCGCCAAGUCCUCCGAGACCCUCAGGGGCUGCGACCCUGGUCUCGUGGGACCCGCGGGGGACCGGGCGGCAGCACCCCCGACUCAGUCAGCGGAUAGUGGGGAUCCCGGGAAGUCCCGGGGGCGUCCUCGGGGGUCUCCGGAAGACACUGGCUGAGGCUCCCGCGCAGCGCUUGAAAAUUGCGCGCGGCCCUACGGCCAGCCUGGGUAGGGGCAAGGCGCAGCCAAUGGGAAGGGUCGGGGCACUGCAUAGCCAAUGGGGAGGGCUGGGAGUACGCGGCGAGGGAGAUUUAAAGAGGGCUGAGUCGGUGUGCUGCCCGUGCACCCCUUCCCAGCCGCCCGGCCCCGGCUGCCAGCUCUUCUUCGUCGCGCCGCCACCAUGCUCUCCGUCCGCGUCCCGCUCGCGCCCAUCACGGACCCGCAGCAGCUGCAGCUCUCGCCGCUGAAGGGGCUCAGCCUGGUCGACAAGGAGAACACGCCCCCGGCCCUGAACGGGACCCGGGUCCUGGCCAGCAAGACCGCGAGGAGGAUCUUCCAGGAGCCGGCGGAGCCGCAGAAAACUCGAGCAGCCGCCCCCGGCGUGGAGGAGGAGCCGCUGCUGAGAGCAAACCCGCGCCGCUUUGUCAUCUUCCCCAUCAAGUACCAGGACAUCUGGCAGAUGUAUAAGAAGGCGGAGGCCUCCUUCUGGACCGCCGAGGAGGUGGACCUGUCCAAGGACAUUCGGCACUGGGAGUCCCUGAAGCCCGAGGAGAGAUACUUCAUAUCCCACGUUCUGGCUUUCUUCGCAGCGAGCGACGGCAUAGUGAAUGAAAACCUGGUGGAGCGAUUUAGCCAAGAAGUUCAGAUCACAGAAGCCCGCUGUUUCUAUGGCUUCCAAAUUGCCAUGGAAAACAUUCAUUCUGAAAUGUAUAGUCUCCUUAUUGACACUUACAUAAAAGAUCCCAGCGAAAGGGAAUUUCUCUUCAAUGCCAUUGAAACGAUGCCUUGUGUCAAGAAGAAGGCAGAUUGGGCCUUGCGCUGGAUUGGGGACAAAGAGGCUACCUAUGGUGAACGCGUCGUAGCCUUUGCUGCAGUGGAAGGCAUCUUCUUUUCUGGUUCUUUUGCAUCCAUAUUCUGGCUCAAGAAACGAGGACUGAUGCCUGGCCUCACAUUUUCUAAUGAACUUAUUAGCAGAGAUGAGGGUUUACACUGUGAUUUUGCUUGCCUGAUGUUCAAACACCUAGUACACAAACCAUCAGAGGAGAGAGUAAGAGAAAUAAUUCUCAAUGCUGUUCGGAUAGAACAGGAGUUCCUCACUGAGGCCUUGCCUGUGAAGCUCAUUGGGAUGAAUUGCACUCUAAUGAAGCAAUACAUUGAGUUUGUAGCAGACAGACUUAUGCUGGAACUGGGUUUUAGCAAGGUGCUGGGAGUCUAGGAAGUGCUGAGCAGAUGGAGUCCAUGCCCUCGGGAAGACGGGGACCAUCACCCACCCAGAGUGUGGCUGUCUCUCGAGUGGCUGUGGAUGCUGACAGAAUGCGUGCCUACCUUGCCAUCACUGUUCACGCACAGCACCUGCUAGGGACUCUCCUGUAACCCAAAGGGGUGGUGGAAGGAUGGAGCUUCAGGCCUUGAGGGCCGGGAGAUGAAAACAGAAGACUGAAUCCUCAGGGGACCCCAGCUCUGGGCUGUGUUCUGAGGACGGGGAGUGGAAGGAGGUGGCAGCAGGAGCCGGGCCCGAGGCAUCUCCCACACUCUUCUGAGGUCGAAGAAAAUUUGGAAAUAGGGAAAAGAGAAAGAAGAGGAAAAGAUGCCUGAAUAUACCUAGACAGGCCCUGUGAACAUGCUGCUGGCUCUCUUUCCACUCCUUCAUCUACACAGGCUGAAUACUAUUCCAGUAUGGAUAUCAUUCAUGUUGCUCAUGCAUUCAUCAGUCAAUGGACACUUGGGGGUAGCUUCUGCCCAAGUUUUAGACACUGUGAGUAAUGCUGCCGUGAACAUGCUUGCACAAAUAUCUCUUCAAGACCCUGUUUUCAGUUCUUUCGGAUAUAUACCAGAAGUGGAACUCCUGAUCACAUGGUAAUUCUACUUCUAAUUUUUUUAAAGGAAACACCGCACUGUCCCACAGUGGUUGCACCACUUUACAUUCUGUGUCUGGUUUCUUUCGCUUAAUAUUGGUCAGGAAGAUUUGUGAAUGUCAUGUACAGCACAAGUUUGUUUCUUUAUAAUUGACGUAUUAAGGAUUCCACUCUAUGAGGGAAACCCAAUCUAUUAAUUCCACUGUUGAUGGACAUUUGGAUUGUUUCCCACUGUGGCUAUUAGGAAUGAAACUGCCACUAACUUUCUUGUACACGUUUUCUGGUAGUCAUAUGCACCUGUUUCUCUUGGGGGUAUAUUUAGGAAUGGAAUUGCUGCAUCAUAGGGUAGGCAGUUGUUUCACUCUAGUAGAUAUUAGGUGUAAAUUUUGAGGUCUUAAAAAUAGUACUGAUUGGGCCGGUGCAGUGGCUUAGGCCUGUAAUCCCAGCACUUUGGGAGGCUGAGGCAGGUGGAUCACCUGAGGUCAAGAGUUUGAGACCCACCUGACCAAACAAAAUUUAGCUGGGUGUGGUGUUGGGCGCUUGUAAUCCCAGCUACCUGGGAGGCUGAGGUAGGAGAAUCACUUGAACUUGGGAGGUGAAGGUUGCAGUGAGCUGACAUUGCACCAUUGUACUCCAGCCUAGGUGACAGAGCGAGACUUUGCCUCAAAAUAAAUAAAAUAAAAUAAAAUAGUACUGAUUGUUACAUAAAGUUUUGAGGUCUGCCUUUUUCACUUAACAUUAAAUCAUUACUAUUUUUAAGUUAG